UACGUAGGGCGCGAGCGUUGUCCGGAUUUAUUGGGCGUAAAGAGCUCGUAGGCGGCUUGUCGCGUCUGCCGUGAAAGUCCGGGGCUCAACUCCGGAUCUGCGGUGGGUACGGGCAGACUAGAGUGAUGUAGGGGAGACUGGAAUUCCCGGUGUAGUGGUGAAAUGCGUAGAGUAUCGGGAGGAACACCAGUGGCGAAGGCGACUACCUGGCCUGUUCUUGACGCUGAGGCGCGAAAGCUAGGGGAGCAAACGGGG
rnacentral:rRNA from 1 species